GCCGUGGCUCAGUGGUAGAGCAUCUGUUUGGCAUGGAGAAGGUCUUAGGUUCCAUCCCUGGUGUCUCCA
rnacentral:tRNA from 1 species